AUUCAAAUAGCUUAAAAAGAGUAUAACAUUGAAGAUGUUAGGGUAAUUUCUAUAAUUUUUGAAUG
rnacentral:tRNA from 1 species